rnacentral:lncRNA from 1 species
GUGGUGAUAGACCAUAAUAGGGGGACAUGGGACCAUAAUACCAUGUGGGUAUGUAAUCACCCGAAACAAGUAACUAUUUUCAAAUCCAGAAUUGUUACGUGCACGUUUUUUUAAACACAAUUUUAAACAUAUACUUUUCAAAAUGAGUAAGCUCUACAUGAGUGUGGAUCUUACCGUGGGAAUUUACCUUUUGUCAUAGUUAUCAAAUUAGGAUAUGUAUUGUGAAUCAUUUUUUGAUUUUUUCGAAUUGCAUAUCGUAUUUUAUUGAGUAUCAUAAGAUAUUUAAUCUCUCUAAUAAAUAGGUAAAAAAUAAGUAUAUAAUAGAAAAUACAAAUAUAUUUUAAAAAAAAUAUUAAAUAAUAUUAAUUGAUAACUAUUGGUGUCAAAACUUGGACAUUGUCCCGGAUCCGAAUGCACCUUAUGAGAGCUCUCAGUUGACCUGCAAAACAAAGAGACAUUGGUGGAGCACCUGUGUGGUGACGUCCAAAGACCCUCUGAUCAAAUCAGACAAUUAAUAUAUUGAAACUGGAAUAUUAUUCAAAUUAUUCACCUACUUCUUACUUUGGCAUUGGAUCUCCUUUACAGGUUUUUUAGCGUGAUUUGUGGCUGGGAUCGGAUGCUUGAUCACCACUCGAGAGUGGGCUAUCCGUUACCUGAGUAACUCAGCGGGUAUUUCCUUAUUUGUAUUAGUGGAGAUCUUUGACAUCACUCAGCUCCUCGAGUGAUGUCACUCGGCUUGUUGGGUUGUUUGAAUGCUGUUCGAAUAUUCCCUCAUCAGAUGUCCCGUAUUCAUUGAGCCAAGUGAUCUUUUGGCUUGGCAUUGGGAACUAAUUGACAGGUAGCACGCUAAGUCACACAAAGCGGGAGCGUGAGAGCGUCAAUUGUUAAAAUAGUACGAGAGCAGAGGAGCGAGAGCGUUUUCAGAGCGCCGAAAUAAAUAAUAUAUUAAAUUUAUAUAUGUAUAAAAAUUAAUAAAUAAGUAAUAAUAUUAAAAAUAAUAAUUUCAAUCUUAGGUAGUGAACUUAUGUAAUUUGAAUUAAAAUUAGAGUCUUUUUUUUUAAAAAAAUUAGAGUAUUAAUCGCCUCAAUCGCUCUCGGGCUUGCCACGCCACCCAACCCACCAUACCAUUUUUUUUAAAUAAAAAAAUCGCAUGUUUGUUUGAUAAACACUGAAGAUUGGCCGUGUGCGGGCUAAAUCAUGAACGCGGAAACCUUAGUUAACGGACCGAAUAGGCCCAUUUCCUUCUCUUUUCUAGGCUCCCUCACUUUGUGUCUCUCCUCUCUCUCUCCUCACCGCUACUAACUAGGGUUUCGAAUCCCUCGUCUGCUUGCCUGUUCCAUCUCUGCCCCAAUUUUUGUUCACAACCGAUCAAUUUGAGUUCAUUACGCGAUGAAGAAUCGAAUCCCCAAAAGUAACCCCUAUGAAAACAGAGAGGAAAUCAAUGCAUCAAUCGAGAAGAAGAAGAUGAAUAAGAACUUGAUGAGAUUGGGUGGGGGAGGCCGUCCUCUCUCGAAGCUUCGCCAAGCGAAAACGAAGAGCAACCACUACAACCCCGCGUGGCAGUCAUUUAGUCUCGAAAUGAUGAAUUCGCGUGCUGCUUAAUGGAUUCCGGAAUUUCACCCGAAUUCAUGGUAAGUUCUUUAAUUCACGCGCCAAUUCGGGAUUCGUGUGGCUUGUCCAACGAUUUGUGACCUAGGUAGCACGUUCGUUGAAUGGUUCGUAUUGCGCAAUUCGUAACCGUAGAUUCAUAGAGCUUUUAAUCUCGACCAUAUGCCUUUGCCCUAAUUAAUCUUGGAAUUUUCUCUUCCCCUUUCGUUACGAGCAUCCGUUCUCUAUUCCGGUCUUCUCUUCUCGGCGUUCCGAGUCUCUCUCUUGGUAACGUCAUCUUGCUCCUGCUUCUUGUUUUGGUUUUUUUCUCAUUUGUGUGCACACACGAUCGAGAAAACAAUUCCUCUCGCGUUGAUUGGUUUCUUGUUGAUUCGCGUGGGUAUUUUUGCGUGAUUUUCGAGUUUUCUCUUUCUCUUUCUCUUUAAUUCCUAUUUUGAAGAUGUGUUCUCCCGUGUAUCCGGAGGAGAUUUACUCUCUGGCUCUAGUAUUGGUAAUUCUGAUGACGACUCACGCUUUGCUAGGAUUAAGGUGUCACGGUCCGUAUUGGUUCGGAUUUAGUAUGACUCCAAGCACUAACCCAAAGUUUUACGGUUCAAGGAAAUACAAUCCGUGUUCAAACCAAAAAUUUACGGUUCGGUUUCAAAAAAAUUAAAAAAUUCACGGUCGGAUACACUGUUAAUCACGGAUUGUUAUAUUUCACGAAAUUAAAAAAAAAAAUUCAUGGUAGCAUCCCAUACAAGCUAGCAAUACCGAUCAAAAACUAAAUACGUAGCGGAAGCACAAAAUUGAAAACCAAUAAAUUAAUUGAACCUUGAUGCAUGUAGAUGACCUCAUGGACCAAUUUACACAACUAGUUUAUAAUGAGUUCAGUCCAUAUCACCAAAAAGAUAUGUUACCUGUAAAAUAGAAAUACACUGUUUACCCCUAAUUUCUUUUAUACCAACAUUGAGUAAUUUAGAGUAAAUAAGUAACAAUAAUAAGUUAAUAAUUAUAAUUCUAAAUUCCUUAUCCUAAUAUUAUAUAUAUAUAUAUUCAUUUAUAUAUUUUAAAUCUCAUGGUCCGGUUCGGUUAAUCCACAGUUUGCUUAUGAAAUCCAUGGCCGACCGCGAAUUACUGUUUGUUUUAAUUUUUCAAUCCGUGUCCGGACCAUUAAUCCACGGAUCCAAUAAAAAAACCUACGGAUCGGAUCGGUUUCGCGGUUUGCGGAUUUUUUUUUAACAGCCCUAGCUAGGAUAGUAAACCCUCGGUUAGUGGCGGAGCAGAAAAAAUUGUCCGGGCAAACCAUUAAGAGUAAAAAUAAUAAAAAAAACAUUAUCCGUAAACAAUAACGCCACGCAGAUUUACUAAGACAAAAGUAACACAAAAUAUAUUCAUUUGAUAAGUUUCUAAUAUACAUUUACAAUUGAACGGCAGUCUUCAACUUUUGAAGUUUUGCAUAAUAGUUUCAUUAUCCUCUCUCUCUACUAUCAAGCCUAUAAAAUGUGAUAAAAAUAGAUGGUCUGAACUCCUCACAAAACUAAUACGCCAUAGGCAAAUGUGGAAGCAAACUGUAAAUGGCAAUAUUCUAUGUAUUUUGAAUCUUUCAAUGACCUUAAUGGGCACAGAAAGGAUUUACGAAUAAUAAAAAUUUAGUCCUCCAUUAUCAAUUAAACUUGCAACCAACAGAAACUCAUCAAACUAUAGCUAGAAUACAUUAGAAGAUUAUUCGUGGUUGAGAUUCUGAUAGAUUAUUGACAGCAAACAAUGCAUUUCGUCUAAUUUCAUCAAAACAAAAUUGCUCAAUUUUCGUUCAUUUCGUCUAAUAUCAUUCAGAUAAAUCCAAUCACAAAACCCUAGCAAAUUCAAUAACGAUAAAUUUCAGACAUCCAUCAAAUUUAAUAACAAAUAGCAAAGUAUCCAAAUAUACAUAAAAGCAAUACACAAUUCAAGCAAUUGGAAUUCGAAUCUAACCAGAGAUUGUCGACCGUUCGUCGGAGAUUCGGACGGGAACUUUUGCGUCGAGAAAGCGUAAUCGUAUUGCCGAUCGAAACGAUAACCGAUUUACAGUUGAAGAAAUAUGCGUCGAUACAUGUGUAGAACAAAGAUGGGAGUGAUUUGAGUGAAAUAAGAACAAAGAAAUAUGUGUCGAUAUAUGUGUAGAACAAAGAUGGGAGUGAUUCGAGUGAAAUAAGAACAAAGAAGAGAGAGACGGAGGAUUGGAUGGAGAGGAAACUUACAGUUUAUCGGAUGAUUUGGGGUUUUAAAAACUAAAUUACGCUAUAGGUUCCACAAUUUAAUACCCUUGUUUCUUUGGCCCCCAAAAUUUUAAUAUUAUACUAAAACCCCAAUUUUUGAGGGGGCAAAUUUUACAAAAUUUCUGUUACUAUAUAGGUUAAAAAAAAAAAAUCCAAACUUGAGUGGGGCAGCUGCCCCUGGGCACACAUUGGCUCCGCCCCUACCUUCAGUCGAGCCUCCUUCUUCUGUCGUUGAUUGAUGGCGGAUGAUCCCUUUACUACGAAAUUCGAGCGUCCUGUCUUUCGUCAGGAGGAUCUUGACGAGUUGAGGGAAAUCUACUCUGUUCGGAGGUCUUUUGUCUUAGGUUGCCACGAGCUCUGACGAGAUUGACGAGAGGGCUUGUAGUUAUUCCUCGGUGGAUAUUUGUAUGAGCAUGCGUUUGUGGGUUGUCGGAGGUUACCUUUUUCUUUCUUUGUUCGCAAACUUUUAGAUUUUCUGGGGCUGUGUCCCUAAGUUAGUUGAUGCCAAACAGUUGGCGUAUCAUGCAUGCCAUGCUGAUUUUGUGGGAGGAGUUUAGUCAAGGGAGUUGUUAUCUGUCGGUGGAGGAUUUCCUUCACUACUAUCAGCCCAAAGAGGACUCUGGUUGGUUUUAUUUUAGGCUCGGGAAGGUAAGGGCUACUUCCAAUAAAGUUUGGAGAGGUCGGUAUUUCUUUGCUUCCGGAGAGGGUUGGAAUUUCAAACUUGGGAGGAGCCUGACCCAGUACUCCUUGAAUCCGAUUGUUGUGGGGUAAGCCCGUUGUAGCGGAUCUUUCUGCCCAGCCCCAGGCGAGCGACGAGAUGACUCAGAUGAGUGCCCAUGUUCAAGUGACUGGGGAUCAUCCAGUUUCGGUCGGCAACUCUCUGAUGACUCUGGAGAAGUUGUAGCAUACUUUCUUGGGCUAACAUCGCUGUAAGGGCCUCGUUUGCGCAUUAUAUAUGCGUGUGCGACUGUGUGAGCGUACUUUUUCAGUUGAUGCUUCUAAUCCUCUUUCACCUUCCAUGUUUGCAGUACCACGAUGAAGAGCCCCCCAGUAAGGAGGCUGUGGCAAAGCUCGCACAUAUUUGGGUACCGAUGAGUAGUUGUUAUAUAUCCUAUUUCACCUUCCAUGUUUCAGUACCUAUGAGUAGCCCCGAGCUAGCUACAGAAAUCUCUGAACUGAUCAUUAUCGAACUGCUU